GCAAAGUCCUUGGAUCAUCCCAAACCUUUCCUGCACUCUGCAUAAGAUUGAGACACGUGGUAUCUAACAGAUCCAACCAUUCCAGAAGAAAACACGUCGUGCAGACCUCCUCAAUAGAAAAAACGGUUGCCAAUCUUCCCAUACUACGCCUUUAAAUCCAGAACAUCUUGGAGGUCAAUGAAGAUUGUUAGAAGUGAAAGAUUGUUGAUGACGGGCUACUGAUGAAUUAAAUUAUACUGUAACUAUCAAAUGUGUGUGUUUUUUUUUCUUUUUUUUGCGGAGAUUACAAUUUGGAAAUUUUUAUUGCCAAUUUUGAUUGGGAGAAUUUUUUUUUUUUUUAUCAAUUUGGAUUGUGAACAUUUUCAUUGUUAUAUGAUGGAUUGAAUCCUAAAAAAUUGAUUUUGGGAUAGAGCCUAAACCCAACAUUUGGUAUACCUGAAUCAA